rnacentral:lncRNA from 1 species
AGGGAUCGAGAUGUUCUCCAAAUCAUCAUUGAAAUUGGGCAGUUAAAGAACGUAUGGCAUAUGGAUUCUGGAGCUGCGCAACAUCGUUGACAUGUAUUAUCAAAUUGCAUCCCUCUAGAGUUUAACCGAGUAGCAACUCCUAUAUUGCUUUUGAACAUAAUCGCCAAAGAAAAUGCUUUAACUCUGGCAUUAUUGACAUUUUCCAAAUUUGAUAUUUAGUUCCGGAUCACCAUGAGGGAUGACAAUAUCUGGAUUAGCAGAACGAGAUGCAUUGAAAACCAUCCAAUAUCCGCUUUUAACCGAGUAUUCUCCUGAAGUGUUGUGAGCCCAAACCACUUUAUCUUCUUUUGGAACCUGUGGUAGAUAUAUGUUUUUAAUAUGUUCUUGAUCCUCUCUUUCCACCAUUGCACUUAUUUUUUCUAUGUUCCAGAAACGAUGAUUGUUAGUAUCGCAAAUAAGAUCACUAACUUUCAUGUCAUGAUUACUGGUUCUAAGUCUCACAGGCCUUGGAGAUGGAUGGGAGAUCCAGUUAUCUUGUUCAGCACAUAUGUUUAAUCCAUCCCCGACUAUAUGUAAGCAACCUUUCUUAAUCACCUCUACUCCAUGAAGUAUAGAACUCCAACCAUAUGACUGGUUAGCUCGUGUUUUUUUUAUCCAAAAUGGAGGUGUCCUUAUAAUACCGAGCUUUCAUGAUCUUAGCAAAGAGUGAAUACGGAUGUCUAAGCAAUCUCCAAGCUUGUUUCACAAGAAGGGCAUCAUUGAAGAAUGAUAGAUCUUUAAAGCCUAUUCCUCCUUGCUUUUUAGAAAAUUGAAGUCUCUUCCAGGCAAUCCAGGGUAUUCCUUUAUUCUGGUCAUCUUUCUCCCACCGAAAUCUCAUCAGAAGUUUGCUAAUUUCAUCUGUUAUAUGUGCUGGAAUUUUAAAGCAUGACAUCGAGAAAACCGGCAUUGCUAGUCCAACAGACUUGAUUAGAAUUUCUUUUCCUGCUGGCGAGAGGAACUUAGCUUUCCAAGUAGAAGUUCUCUGUUGAACUUUGUCAAUAAUAUAUGUAAACAUCUCCUUCUUUUUUCGGCCAAAUUGCUCAGGUAAACCCAAGUAUUUACCGCCACCUCCAUGUUUAUCAAUUCCAAGAAUUUGUUUUAAACGUGCUUGUAGAUCACCAGGAAUCUUAGAACCGAAUGUAAUCGUUGACUUUGAUGGGUUAAUUUGUUGCCCUGACCAUUGUUCAUAUGUUGUGAAAAUGUCUUUCAAAGUUUUACAGUUUUUGUUGUUUGCCUGACAAAAGAAAAGGGAAUCAUCUGCAAAAAGAAGAUGAGUAACUGAUGGUACUCCAUUUCCUAUCUUAAUGCCUCUGAUUUUUCCUCUUUGUUGAGAUCUUUGAAUUAAAUGGCUUAGAACUUCUGCACAAAGAAUGUAUAGAUAAGGAGACAAUGGGUCUCCUUGUCUUAAUCCCCUUUCAGGUUUGAUUCUUCCUUGUGGGUUUCCGUUGAUUAGCACAGAGUAUUCUACUGUCUGAACUGAUUCCAUUAUCCAGGUGAUCCAACGUCCAUCAAAUCCAUAAGCUUGAAGCGUUUUUUCAAGAAAGCUCCAUUCAAUGCGAUCGUAAGCUUUAGAAAUAUCAGUUUUGACAGCCAAAUAAGUCUGAGAGACACGUUUCCUUGAUUUUAAGGAAUGCUUAAGUUCAUGGGCGAUCAUUAUGUUGUCAGUAAUCAUCUUUCCAGGGAUGAAAGCUGCUUGUGCCUCAGAAACAAUGUCGCUUAAGUAGACUUUAAGUCGGC